rnacentral:lncRNA from 1 species
GGCUGCGGCACUGGAUGGGGAGCUGUCGGGGCAUGAUGCACAGCCCAAGACAGUCUUUGAAGGUGAGGAAUCUGAGGCACACAGAGAUGAAAAACUGUCCAGGCAGUUGAGUCAGAAUUCAAAUGUUGGCUGUCUUCGUCUGGAACCCACACUUUCUACCUUCCUCUUGUGUUAUGGCUGGAUGUAUGACCUUGUCAUGUACGUAAAACAUCCGCAGACUAACUGGAAAAGGACUUUACCUCAGCCAAAGUGAGUGCAUUGCAGAAUAAGUGCAGAGAGCUUACCUUGGUUUUUAAAGAUAUUCCAAUCCGUUUUAAUUGGGGAUCUCAUUGCAAUGUGCUCCUAUGUCUUGAGACAGGUAAGCAAAACAAAACGAAGGUGAUUAGCAUGGGGAAAGAUGGGGCAUAUUUGAAGCAAACCCACUUUUUAAAGAAUUUCC